GGAGCAGCUCCGAUUUCCCCUAGUUAGAACUUGUCAGGCCGACGCGUUUCAUUAUGGCGUCUUCUCGCAUUAUUUUACAAGACAAACAUAAAAUGGAAGAAAAGGGACAAAACGUUCCAGAGUGAAAUCCUCUGACAGAUGACAUAAAUCCUGCUCCGCUCUUCAUCUUCAUCUCCAAACGGCUCCGUCCGGAGGAUCCGCCUGCGCCUGCAGCGCGGCGAUGGACGGCGCUGCAGCGUCUGAGGCAUCCUCUCUGCUCUGCAGCUCAUGGAUUCCUGUUUGUCUCCGACGUUCAGGCCUCUCCUGCAUGCUUCUUGUGCAGCAGCUGCAGG